rnacentral:rRNA from 1 species
GGCGAACGCUGGCGGCGUGCUUAACACAUGCAAGUCGAACGCUUCUUUCCUCUCGAGUGCUUGCACUCAAUUGGAAAGAGGAGGGGCGGACGGGUGGGUAACACGCGGGUAACCUACCCAUCAGAGGGGGAUAACACUUGGAAACAGGUGCUAAUACCGCCUAACAGUUUAUGCCGCAUGGCAUAAGAGUGAAAGGCGCUUUCCGGUGUCGCUGAAGGAUGGUCCCGCGGUGCAUUAGCUAGUUGGUGAUGUAACGGCUCACCAAGGCCACGAUGCAUAGCCGACCUGGGAGAGUGAUAGGCGACACUGGGAGUGGGACACCGCCCAGACUCCUACGGGACGCCGCAGUAGGCUAUCUUCGGCAAUGGACGAGAGUCUUACCGAGCAACGCCGCGUGAGUUGAGGAAGUUUUGCGAUCGGAAGGCUGUGUUGUUAGUGGUGAACAACUUCUUUAGUAACUGAACGUACACUGACGGUAUCUGACGAGAAAGCCACGGCUAACUACGUG